rnacentral:rRNA from 1 species
UACGUAGGUGGCAAGCGUUGUCCGGAUUUACUGGGCGUAAAGCGCGCGCAGGCGGUCGUUCAAGUCGAGUGUGAAAGCCCCCGGCUCAACUGGGGAGGGUCACUCGAUACUGAUCGACUUGAAGGCAGAAGAGGGAAGCGGAAUUCCCGGUGUAGUGGUGAAAUGCGUAGAUAUCGGGAGGAACACCAGUGGCGAAGGCGACUACCUGGCCUGUUCUUGACGCUGAGGCGCGAAAGCUAGGGGAGCAAACGGG